rnacentral:snRNA from 1 species
UGCGUUGAUCAGCCAAAUAGCUGAUCAAGCGUAGUAUCUUUUCUUAUUGGUUUGAUACCUGAUACUAAUACAAUUUCUUUCACGUGUGUGGGUCCAACGGUGCAGCUUGCAGCACCGGACUUACCAGUGCCGCCUCUAUGUAGCACCACAGCCACAGACGGCGCAGCUCUA